CCCCUCCAUCUGCCCAGCCACCUCCCAGGAUAUUCCUAGGAAAGAUCAAAGAGGACCUCUUGAAAGGGCUGGCUCUCACUCCAGAUAAUUGGUUUAUGAGCAGAAACCAUUGCUUAAGAGACACUUACCAUCAACCAGAAUCACGGGGGACAGCACCAUGAACUCAGAGCACUCACUUCUACACACCCUCUCAAACCAAACAUUAAUCCCAACUACAUAUGGUAAUGAGAGCUACUAGCAAGCAGAUAUGGGGGUUCAGGCUUGAAGUCUGACCCUGAGCAAAUGUUCCCAUUUCACCAAGGAGCAAGGAGAACACUGUGGUGGUGUGUUUAGGGAUGGAAUCUCCACAUCAAAUCCACUGGCAAGACCUGGAUGUUCUCGGAAAAUGUUGAACAUUAAUCUUCUCAUCUCUAGUUUCAACACCCAGCUGAGGCCACCAUCAUUUCUUGGAUUUGGCUGGACAAUGGCAACAGCCAGCUAUGACUGCUUUGACUUUCUCUACAACUCCAGCUAAUCUAUCCUCCACUCCGCAGCCCGAACGAUCACUUCAAAAUUCACAGUAGAUAAUGACACUGCAGUGGAAAAUGUUGAUUGCUUUCUACUUAGCAUAAACCCCGUAUUCUUUACUGUGGCCUACAAGACCCUUAGUGCAAUCCUUUCUUGAUGGGCUCCUCAUUUUUUAAGUCUCAGGUUAAAUUAGUGGUUCUCAAAAGAGAGGAAUUUUGCCCUUUAAGAGACAUUUGGCAAUGUUAGGAGAUAUUUUUGGUUGUCAUAAAUGGAAGUCAGGGCAUGCCACUGGCAUCCAGCGGUCAGAGGCCAGGGAUGCUGUUGAACAUUCUGCAAUGCGCAGAAUAGUCCCACAGCAAAGAAUUGUCUGACCCAAAAUGUCAGCAGUGCCAAAGUUGAGAAAUCCUGGAGUGACUUUAUCUGACCAUUUUUAUCUCAAAUUGAUUCCCAUCCCCUACAAUCUUCAUACCUCUAACCACAAUUUGCAAUUAUCCUCUUAUUGUUAUUUACAUACGUGUAAGCGCCACAUACCGGGCUAGAGACAAAGCGUGUCUUGUUCAACUUUGUUGUCUCAACACAUACCACUUAGUAGACACUCAAUAAAUAUUCGUGGGAAGAAGAAGGGCAGGAAAGGCGAAGGGCAUGGAGAAAGGCAGUCCAGGUUAAGCAGCACCCCCGCCCUUCUGAGCCACUUUCAGGAUCAUGCUGACUUUCAUCUUCAUGUGGAAAACCUGCCAUUUCACUUAGCCAGUUGCACUGAUAAUGUUUUAUUGGAGAAUGAGCCGAGUAGACUACGAAACACUUUAAAAAUCAAUCGUGAGGCAGGGUGGGGGGUGGGAGCACUGGCAAGAAACUGUUUACAUGUCUUCAGUAUUGACUUUGCUUUUGUCAAACAAGUCCUCUUGAGGGUAGGGACCACGUCUAUUUCAGUCCCCGCUGUAGCCCCAGCACCUUGCACAGUGCAUAGCACAGAGAUAGUGGGUUCCCCAAAAGUGUUUGUGAAUAUGUGAGUACUCCCCCCACCUGCAGGGGCGGGAGGGCUGAUACCCCAUUGCACCUACUUCUCUGCCAGCUCAUGAACCACUUAUGGAGCCAGCCUUCAGGUCAGACUCUUGCUUUUCUUCCUGUUAGUGGCCCUUAAAAGAGCAUUGCCAAUAAAAACUUCAGCUCUGGAAAAGAAUUCUAUCCUUUGUCAGCUAUUUCCGACAGCCCUUGAAAGAAAAAUAAAUUUGGCUCCAAGUUU